ACAGGAGCGUAUGCGUCACCUGGGAUGCGUCACUUGGGGGACUGCUGCGUCGUUAACGCGAUCCCGUCACUUCCGGAAUUGGCUGUGUAUUCUCGAGACGGUAAGGAACGGAUGCACUGUUAGUUAUUUUGUUUAUGUGUGUUUGGUUAUGAGAAGCACACCCUCUGUUUAAUAUGCUUUAGAGUCGCUGAUUAGUUUGGCAAGUGCUUCCGCAUUGAUACUGCGUUCAUCUUGGCGAGUGCUUCCGCAUUGAUACUGCGUUCAUCACAACGGUCUAUUCAAAGAGUGUCUGUACAAAGAGUGGAAAAGGUAGGAUGAAUGCUUUGUGGUUGAUUAACUGGUAAAUGCAUAACCUACUAAUUCGCUCUUUUCCCAGCUGUGCUAUUUUGAUAGCUGCUGGCAUAUUGUGUCUACCUUCAUUCUCAGCUGUGAGAUCUGAUGCGAGUGCGGAAUUAAGGUGCUCCGUAAGGGCAGCUGUUGAAAGCAACUAUUGUUGUCUGUUCGUCAUAAUUAACCCUGUGUUGAUCGGUUUGGGGACUAUCUGGGUCGGGGUGCUCUCUGUCCAUUUACAGCUGCAGUGCUGUCCUGUUUCCAAAGUUUUAUUUUUAUUUGACUUUUCCUUUUGGGUUAUGCUGCUUUGUUUUUGAUUUAUAUAGUUUGAUUCUAAAGUUGAUUAUUUUGGGUUCUACUUGAAUUAUAUUUGUGAUUUGUCCUUAUUUACUUUAUAUUUAAUUAUUUUUGAUUUACAUUUUGAUUUAUAAUUUUUUACUAGUGAAUUUGUUUCUCUUGAUUUCUCAUUGAUUUAUUUAGUUGUGUGUUUUACGCAACCAUUUAUUUGUUGAUUUAUUGGUUGCAAAAGUUGAUUUAUUUCAAUUUAAUUGGGUCUCAUAACCCAGCUCCUGAGGUGAAUCUAUUUGAUGCAUUUUUCUUGUUUUGGCAGGGCUUGAGCACCAGGGGUACAGGACUAGCUUUGGUGGCGGUAGAUUCUUCACAGUGCGUGUGGUUAUCACCGUGUGAGUGUGCGUGUGUGUGUGUGUGUGUGUACACAGUGAAAUGCAGUGGAAUGCAGUGAUUCACGGACCGGUGGUGUGAUCUGAUUAUUAGCUGCCCCAUACUGGGCUUGAGCACCAGGGGUACAGGACUAGCUUUGGUGGCGGUAGAUUCUUCACAGUGCGUGUGGUUAUCACCGUGUGAGUGUGCGUGUGUGUGUGUGUGUGUGUGUGUACACAGUGAAAUGCAGUGGAAUGCAGUGAUUCACGGACCGGUGGUGUGAUCUGAUUAUUAGCUGCCCCAUACUGGUAAGCUCCAGCCCCUGGCCUGACAUUUGCUAUAACCCCUAAUUCAUCGGGUUGAAAAAUUUUGUUUUUUAUCUUUAUCCUGCUUUUAAUCAAGAUUUGUUAAUAAAGACUAUUUUUGUAUUGUUACCCAUGUCUCUGGCUCUAAUUGGUGAUAUGAACUUGCGUAUGCCCUUGUACAUGAUUUAAUUAAAUUCUGUGGGCGAAAUUCCCAUGGUGGCGUAGUUGGCUAUCUUGUUUGAUUCUUACCUUUUCAAAAUAAAAGUCUCCUUGUACCC